rnacentral:rRNA from 1 species
AGUUUGAUCCUGGCUCAGCGCGAACGCUGGCGGCGUGCCUAACACAUGCAAGUCGUGCGGAGGGGUGAUGAGCCCCUCAGCGGCAAACGGGUGAGUAACACGUGAGUAACCUACCCUUGGGAAGGGGAUAACCCUCCGAAAGGAGGCUAAUACCCUAUACUGCCGGGGACCACUAAGGUCUUCCGGUGAAAGGUGGCCUCUGCUCUGCAUGCUACCGCCCAAGGAGGGGCUCGCGGCCCAUCAGGUAGUUGGUGGGGUAACGGCCUACCAAGCCUAUGACGGGUAGCCGGCCUGAGAGGGUGGUCGGCCACAGUGGGACUGAGACACGGCCCACACCCCUACGGGGGCAGCAGUGGGGAAUCGUGGGCAAUGGGCGAAAGCUGACCCCGCGACGCCGCGUGGAGGAAGAAGCCCUUCGGGGUGUAAACUCCUUUCGGGGGGGACGAUGUGUCUUGGGGUGAAUAAUCCAGGGCAUGACGGUACCCCCAGAGGGAGGGACGGCUAACUACGUGCCAGCAGCCGCGGUAAUACGUAGGUCCCGAGCGUUGGGGAAUUCACUUGGCGUAAAGC